rnacentral:rRNA from 1 species
AUUGAACGCUGGCGGCAGGCCUAACACAUGCAAGUCGAACGGUAACAGGAAGAAGCUUGCUUCUUUGCUGACGAGUGGCGGACGGGUGAGUAAUGUCUGGGAAACUGCCUGAUGGAGGGGGAUAACUACUGAAAACGGUAGCUAAUACCGCAUAAUGUCGCAAGACCAAAGAGGGGGACCUUCGGGCCUCUUGCCAUCGGAUGUGCCCAGAUGGGAUUAGCUAGUAGGUGGGGUAACGGCUCACCUAGGCGACGAUCCCUAGCUGGUCUGAGAGGAUGACCAGCCACACUGGAACUGAGACACGGUCCAGACUCCUACGGGAGGCAGCAGUGGGGAAUAUUGCACAAUGGGCGCAAGCCUGAUGCAGCUAUGCCGCGUGUAUGAAGAAGGCCUUCGGGUUGUAAAGUACUUUCAGCGGGGAGGAAGGGAGUAAAGUUAAUACCUUUGCUCAUUGACGUUACCCGCAGAAGAAGCACCGGCUAACUCCGUG